UGCUUUGCGCAGUGCAGUAUCAUAGUCAAUGAGGUUUAUCCGAGACGUGGUUAUUGCCAGUUGAAACUAUGUAUAGGGAAUCCUGACUUGUGUGCCUAUCGACCCCACCCCCUUUAUCUUACAUGCAACCAUAUAGAUCAAUUAAUACUUAAAGAGUAAUUAACAUGGAAUAAC
rnacentral:snRNA from 1 species